rnacentral:rRNA from 1 species
UACGUAGGGGGCAAGCGUUGUCCGGAUUUACUGGGCGUAAAGAGCGUGUAGGCGGCCAAGCAGGUCCGUUGUGAAAACUGGAGGCUUAACCUCCAGACGUCGACGGAAACCGCGCGGCUAGAGUCCGGGAGGGGCGAGUGGAAUUCCUGGUGUAGCGGUGAAAUGCGCAGAUAUCAGGAGGAACACCAAUGGCGAAGGCAGCUCGCUGGGACGGUACUGACGCUGAGACGCGAAAGCGUGGGGAGCGAACAGG